rnacentral:rRNA from 1 species
AUGAGCUCUGGCGUGGUAGGCGUGGUGUUGUUCAACAACCGAAUCUGCGGCUACUCCGCCUUUCUUCAGGCUUCCAACUCCAGUAUUGUACAGGUGAACGCGGCCGACGGCAACGCCCUCAUAGCUUACGCCGCGUCGACGCAGAGCAGCUCCCCGGCGUCUCUCGCAUACAACGGCACACAGUAUGGCGUCCGCCCAGCCCCCGUCGUGGCCUGGUUCUCUUCCCGGGGUCCAAGCAAACGUGCCCCGGGCAUCCUAAAACCGGACAUACUGGCACCGGGCCUCAACAUCCUCGCUGCUUGGCCGCCAAGCACGAGCUCUGGACAGGGCCCUUUCAACGUCAUAUCAGGCACAUCCAUGGCGACGCCACACGUAAGUGGUGUCGCGGCGCUCAUCAAAGCCAUCCAUCCCGACUGGUCGCCGACCGCCAUCAAGUCUGCCAUCCUGACGACGUCGGACAUCGUCAACAGUACCGGUGGCUCAAUCUUGGACGAGCAAUAUAGAAAGGCCGACGUGUACGACAGAGGCGCCGGCCAUGUGAACCCGGCGAGAGCCGCCGACCCUGGCUUGGUGUAUGACCUCAACUCCGUUGACUACGCUGGCUACAUCUGCUGGCUCCUUGGUGAAAGCGGCCUAGCAACCAUUGUGCGCAACUCGAGCUUGACCUGCGCGAAGCUGGCCAAGGUCCAGGAGGUGCAGCUUAACUACCCGACGAUAACCGUGCCGUUGACAUCGAUGCAGUUCACUGUGAACCGGACUGUGACGAACGUCGGGCCAGCGGAUUCGAAGUUCAAGGCCAAAGUGGAUGUGCCGAGGUCUCUGACAGUGCGUGUCGUCCCGGAGACGUUGUCGUUCUCCAAAACCGGAGAGAAGAAGACCUUCAGUGUGUCGGUGAGCGGCCACAGCGUGGGCAAAGAGAAGAAGGCCUUGGGCGUGUCUGUGAGCGGCCAUGGCUUGGACAAAGAAGGAGUGCACGUGGAGGGAAGCUUGAGCUGGGUAUCGAAGAAGCAUGUGGUGCGGAGCCCCAUCGUCUUCGUCGUCACAGGCGGUGGUACUGCUCCAGCUCCAGCGCCAUCAUCAUGA